rnacentral:hammerhead_ribozyme from 1 species
AUCCAGCUGAUGACAAGUCCCAAAUAGGAUGAAACGCACGUCCUAGAU